GGUUCUGCCAUGGACAAGCUGAAGUCUCUCUGAGACCAGGGGACCCGCAUGGCCCAGCCACCCCACCCCACCAUCUCCCAGGCAUGUGAGAAAAUAUCACAUUCUCUGUGUUUUGGAGAUUUCUUCUAAAUGUAUUUUCCAACUAUCAUUUCAUAGCAAAUCAGCGAGAAAAAAGGUAUAAUAUUAGGCAGAAACCCAAUAUAAAAAGAAAAGCAGAGUUGUUGUAGAUUCAUCGAGGGUUGGCGACCUGGUUCCAAUGAGCCAUCUCCCUGUUCCGACAGGGGCUUCCUGGAGCUCCUGCAACCCCAGGCAUUAGUUCCGGUGCAGUUCUAGGAUCAGAUCAAUUCACUCGACAACAAGAGAAACAAAUGGAGAUUCCUACACAAAGACUUUCAAGCACAAAGAAAUCCUGCUGCCUGUAAAGCGGAGCUGCCUCAGCCCUUGAUGAACGACAGAAAAUCUCACAUUCCAGGAAUUCAGAUGAAGUGAAGUGCUCUCAUGGGGACCAGGCAUGGUUAUGCCAGUCCACUGCCCUGCAAGCCUCAAGGGAAGCCAACUGCCCUUCAGCAAGUCACACCUGCCUUGGUGGAGGCCUUGAUUGGAAGUGCCACACGCUACAUGUCCAGUCCUGAGCGGGAGAAUCGGUGUAGGGACGUUCUGGGGAUGCCAGCUGUGGCCAGAUCAGGUCCAACUACAGAAGAAUAAUGAAGACUCCACCUGAGGGCUGGAAAAACAAAACCUCAAGUGUGAGGCAGCCAACCUGUUACCUCGAGGGACUGUUCCGCAGCACAGCGGGGCCAUGGGAACAGCAGCAGACACCCCGACCUCCUCGCUACCUGUGUGUGUAUUAACACGCCGGCCUCCUCGCUACCUAUCAACUAUGGCCUGA
rnacentral:lncRNA from 1 species